AUCUCAGCUGCAGCGCUACUGUUCGCCCGCUAGAGGGCAGCAGAUCUCAACUGCAGCGCGUCUGUUCGCCCGCUGGGGGGGGAGCAGAUCUCAAUUGCAGUGUGUCUGUUCGCCCGCUAGGGGGCAGCAGAUCUCAGCUUCAGAUAUUUCACUAAAGGGAACAGUCAGAUUUCAGUUGUGAUUCAAUCUAAUUGAGGAGGUUUUGUCUAAUAUGUUGAUGAGAUGAUGAAAUGCACGCUUCUUUUUGGUUGGAAAAUUGCACAGUAUACCGUUGGAUAAACUUUGAUAUCCCGUUAGCCGUGAGAUAAUCUAUAAAGCGGUUCUCUGAAAUUAUUUUUAUUGAAAAAAGUUAUGCUCCCCGUUUUUCUUAUUUUUUCGGUUCAAACCGUAAGUUCUCUUCGAGUUGGUGUGGUGCCCUGCACACGUCAUUCACUACAGAGUUGGAGCUGCGCUCAGUGCGCCUUUACGCACAGGGAGUGUGUCUGGGAGGAUAACGUCGGGAAAGCCCGUUAUUCUAUAGGAGAGGGUGGGGUUUUGGAGCGAGUUCUUCUGCUCCAUUCAGACGACAGAGGUACUCAUAGAGUUUUCGUCGUCGUUCCUCGAGAGAUCCGUCACAAGGACGCGCUCCAUCGCAGCUCUCUGACUUUUUUCGUUGACGUUUGUUUUUUAAUAGAAGGCCUAUAGAAGAUAAUUAUGGCAUUAUUGUUCUUAUAUCCGCUUUGCGUGUGGUUUAGCGUCAUAUGCACAUCGAUGGAAACCGGAUUUAUCUACCAGUACCCCGCUGUGGGUCUCCAACGCGUCACCGCGCAGCAGCGCCCGGUCAGCGGGCCACCGGGAGCCACUCAGAACCAGUACAGGAACUGGUGCCAGUACACAGUCUCCAGGACCGUGAGCUGCCAGGUUCACAACGGGACGGAGACGACCGUCCAGCGGGUGUUCCAGGGCUGCCGCUGGCCCGGGCCGUGUCCCAAGCUCAUCAGUUACAGGACCCUGGUGAGACCGGCCUACAAGGUGGCGUACCGGCAGGUCACCGCCCUGGAGUGGAGGUGCUGCCCCGGCUUCAUAGGGGAGACGUGUCGGGAAGGUAGCGCACGCACACAGGCACACGCACACGCACACACGCA